rnacentral:rRNA from 1 species
AUUGAACGCUGGCGGCAUGCCUUACACAUGCAAGUCGAACGGUAACGGGCCUUCGGGUGCCGACGAGUGGCGAACGGGUGAGUAAUACAUCGGAACGUGCCCGAUCGUGGGGGAUAACGAGGCGAAAGCUUUGCUAAUACCGCAUACGAUCUACGGAUGAAAGCAGGGGACCGCAAGGCCUUGCGCGGGCGGAGCGGCCGAUGGCAGAUUAGGUAGUUGGUGAGAUAAAAGCUUACCAAGCCGACGAUCUGUAGCUGGUCUGAGAGGAUGAUCAGCCACACUGGGACUGAGACACGGCCCAGACUCCUACGGGAGGCAGCAGUGGGGAAUUUUGGACAAUGGGCGCAAGCCUGAUCCAGCCAUGCCGCGUGCAGGAUGAAGGCCUUCGGGUUGUAAACUGCUUUUGUACGGAACGAAAAGCCUUCUUUUAAUACAGGAGGGUCAUGACGGUACCGUAAGAAUAAGCACCGGCUAACUACGU